AGCGAACGCUGGCGGCAGGCCUAACACAUGCAAGUCGAACGAUCCUUCGGGAUAGUGGCGGACGGGUGAGUAACACGUGGGAACGUGCCCUUUGGUUCGGAACAACUCAGGGAAACUUGAGCUAAUACCGAAUGUGCCCUUCGGGGGAAAGAUUUAUCGCCAUUGGAGCGGCCCGCGUCUGAUUAGCUAGUUGGUGAGGUAAAGGCUCACCAAGGCUACGAUCAGUAGCUGGUCUGAGAGGAUGAUCAGCCACAUUGGGACUGAGGCACGGCCCAAACUCCUACGGGAGGCAGCAGUGGGGAAUCUUGCGCAAUGGGCGAAAGCCUGACGCAGCCAUGCCGCGUGAAUGAUGAAGGUCUUAGGAUUGUAAAAUUCUUUCACCGGGGACGAUAAUGACGGUACCCGGAGAAGAAGCCCCGGCUAACUUCGUGCCAGCCGCCGCCGUAAAAC
rnacentral:rRNA from 1 species